rnacentral:rRNA from 1 species
UACGAAGGGGGCUAGCGUUGCUCGGAAUCACUGGGCGUAAAGCGCACGUAGGGAUUGUUAAGUCAGGGGUGAAAUCCUGGAGCUCAACUCCAGAACUGCCUUUGAUACUGGCGAUCUCGAGUCCGGGAGAGGUGAGUGGAACUGCGAGUGUAGAGGUGAAAUUCGUAGAUAUUCGCAAGAACACGAGUGGCGAAGGCGGCUCACUGGCCCGGUACUGACGCUGAGGUGCGAAAGCGUGGGGAGCAAACAGG